AAUUAUAAAACUGCAAAGUGUAACCAUGCACUUUUAUGAAGACUGGAAAUUGGACUGUUUCCAAAAGAAAUCCAGGAGUCCUUAGAACUCAUCUCAACAAGGAGGAGUAGCAUGUUCAGUAAAGGCAUCAUGAUCAGUCUCUUAAGCAUAAGCUGUGAAGAAUCCCAUUGCUUUCUUCCUAUUUCUCCCACCCACACACACCUUGCUAGUGCUGUCAGUCAAGAGGAGAGCUGCCAUAAAUGACCUUAGCUAGCCAAUAUCUGGAGUGUCAUUCAUGUCAGAGCUGAAGAUAAUUGUAUGGUUGUGAAUGGACAACACUUCACAACUACAAAUGUAAGAAAGCCUACAAAGGACAUGUUUGAGCAAAGAAAGAAUAAAGAAGGAGAUUGUUGAAAUUCAUUGUAUUAAAUGAGUUUGUGAAGGAUCAUUAGUUAACUUGGACUAGCUAUUUGUUUUUCCACUUGUAGUGUUUUGAGUUU